rnacentral:tRNA from 1 species
GGAAGCGUAAGGGGGCUGGUGUCCCUCCCGGGCUUCAAACCCGGUGCACCCCAAAAUAAAGGGGUGGGUGGGUUCAAUUCCCACACGCUUCCGCCA